CUAAAUCUGGAGCAAGUGAACUAAUCAGCUCCAGGAGAUUUCUUCACGCCAGAUGAUCGGCGACGGAGGAUGGAGCGUCCCGCGCACAAUGCGCUUGAAGACACCACUGGUGCGAUUUUCUUCUUCUGCUUCUUCUCCACUGCAGCCUCCUUCUCCUUAGCCUCCUCCGCAGCCUCCUUUGCCUCCUUCUCCGCAGCCUGUCUCUUCUUGGCUUCUAAAGGAUCUUGGGGUGGUGGUCUCGAGUAAUCCACACCAGUCAUGCGCUGCCGGUCCUCAAACUCGUUCGGCGGGCUCUCAAUCUCACGGGUAGAUGAAGAUCUGAGCCUAGGUGCAGCUGGUGGCUUUGUCCUGGAAGAGCAAAGUAUGGAAAUAAUAAUGG
rnacentral:lncRNA from 1 species